GCGGAACGAGUUAUCUGAACCUUCGGGGAACGAUAACGGCGUCGAGCGGCGGACGGGUGAGUAAUGCCUAGGAAAUUGCCCUGAUGUGGGGGAUAACCAUUGGAAACGAUGGCUAAUACCGCAUGAUGCCUACGGGCCAAAGAGGGGGACCUUCGGGCCUCUCGCGUCAGGAUAUGCCUAGGUGGGAUUAGCUAGUUGGUGAGGUAAGGGCUCACCAAGGCGACGAUCCCUAGCUGGUCUGAGAGGAUGAUCAGCCACACUGGAACUGAGACACGGUCCAGACUCCUACGGGAGGCAGCAGUGGGGAAUAUUGCACAAUGGGCGCAAGCCUGAUGCAGCCAUGCCGCGUGUGUGAAGAAGGCCUUCGGGUUGUAAAGCACUUUCAGUCGUGAGGAAGGUAGUGUAGUUAAUAGCUGCAUUAUUUGACGUUAGCGACAGAAGAAGCACCGGCUAACUCCGUGCCAGCAGCCGCGGUAAUACGGAGGGUGCGAGCGUUAAUCGGAAUUACUGGGCGUAAAGCGCAUGCAGGUGGUUUGUUAAGUCAGAUGUGAAAGCCCGGGGCUCAACCUCGGAAUAGCAUUUGAAACUGGCAGACUAGAGUACUGUAGAGGGGGGUAGAAUUUCAGGUGUAGCGGUGAAAUGCGUAGAGAUCUGAAGGAAUACCGGUGGCGAAGGCGGCCCCCUGGACAGAUACUGACACUCAGAUGCGAAAGCGUGGGGAGCAAACAGGAUUAGAUACCCUGGUAGUCCACGCCGUAAACGAUGUCUACUUGGAGGUUGUGGCCUUGAGCCGUGGCUUUCGGAGCUAACGCGUUAAGUAGACCGCCUGGGGAGUACGGUCGCAAGAUUAAAACUCAAAUGAAUUGACGGGGGCCCGCACAAGCGGUGGAGCAUGUGGUUUAAUUCGAUGCAACGCGAAGAACCUUACCUACUCUUGACAUCCAGAGAACUUUCCAGAGAUGGAUUGGUGCCUUCGGGAACUCUGAGACAGGUGCUGCAUGGCUGUCGUCAGCUCGUGUUGUGAAAU
rnacentral:rRNA from 1 species